CCUCCUGCCACAGUCCAGGGUAGGAGAUACUUCUCCAGGCUCUCACUUAUGGGGGCUUUCCUGCUGGCUACAUCACUGAAAUGGAAUCUCCUAGUGGCCCUUCUCCCUCUACAGCUCUGGUGUUACACUGAAAAACUAGAAGUUUCAAAACAGACAAGGGAAAAAGAGAAACAUCAGAAAGUCUGAUUAAAGUAGAAGCAUCAUAUUUCUAUCAACGUAUCCACUGUGCUUGGCAGGGGAUGGGCCCUUCUGCUGCAGCAUAAGAGGGG
rnacentral:lncRNA from 1 species